GGCUAACUUCAUUCACCUGUGCAACUCCCAUACAAAGGAAAAUAACAUACAACUAGCGUCAUCUUACUCCUGUGGCGACGUCAUUUUUGUAACUUUUAGGCAUUAAUGAUCUAAUAAACUCACUAGAUGGCAGAUAUGAGUUCUGACUCAAUAAAAAAUGUAGCGUACUUUGAAGCAGUGCUUCCACUUUUAGGGAAUUCUCCCUUUUUUAGGGAAAAAUAGCUGAUAUUUUGGAUGAUAAAGACAAUUUAAAAAAUACCAGGAUUUAGGAUAUUUCGGGGUAAAAAGCAAAGCCUAUACUAGUAACUGUUGUGAAUUUUAAAAUAAACGAUAAUUAAAGUAAAACAAUGAACAUUUUAUUUUAUGGAGAGAGAAUGACAUUAAGUCGAGUUGACAAGUAAAAGAAUAAAACAGAGUUGUGUAUAAAAACUAUAAAGGUUUGAUUCAACAGUAACCCUCUAGUAAAGUAAAUCAUAGAUUAAGCCACUGCUUUUUCUUAGGGAUUCCCCAGAAUCCCAAUAAGUAUAAUCCGCCAAAUUUUUAUUUACCUAUUUUCGUUGAUGUCACCAGAACUUACUUGUAUUGUAAUAUACAGGUACUUCAUGUACCAUGAAAGAUUAUCAUGGUAAUUUCAUUUACGAAAACCUUGUAAUUGUCAUUUCACUUUUGCUAGCAGUUCCUUCUUCAAAGACUGAGGUGGAAAGAUUAUUCAGUGUUCUCAAAUUUAAAAACUGACAAAAGAAACAGGCUUUCUAAUGAAACCCUGAACGGCUUGCUUCAUAGAAAGUUCCCAACUUUGCCAGCAAACAAUUGCUUAAUUUUAGAACCGAACAGUGUUAGGUUGUGCAGCAAAAGAAUAUAAAAGCAAUGCGUCGACUUCCUUGAAAAUUCUAAUCCUAUAGAUCUAUGAUCUUCUGGGGGCGUUUAUAUUAUAUAUACCUACAUUAAAUAAUAUGCUGUGGUUUAUUUUCUGUAUUUUAUUUACGCUUUCUAUAUAAAGGAUUUAUGAAAGUUGUCUAGGAAAUUUUAGGGUAAAUUCAAAAGAAACUAGGGUAAAAUGUGUUAAAAAAAACGUAAGUGGAAACACUGCUUUGAAGUUUUCAAAAUUCCAGGGCCGUAAAACAAUCUCAAAAAAAAAAAAAAAGUUUUCAAAAUGUCGUAACGAUUUAAUUUUUUAAAUCGUUUUUUUUUGGUCUUGGUAAUGUUUAUUAUUAAAAAUCAGCAUGCCUCGAAGAUCGAAAAUGAAAUGCUAUUUCGGAUGCCUUGAUAACGACAAAGGUUUGAUAAUGACAAAAUUUUAUGGAAAAAUUAUAAGGAGCACUAAAAUGUCUGAAACAUGAAAAGAUUGAUGCACUAUAUUUGAACCAGAACGUGUUAUGUAAUAUAUUAAUUCAAGAGAAACUGAUUCAGCAAGGAAUGUGAACUCUCAAGGGAUCUUAAUUUUUUUUAAAUAUGUUUAUAAUUGAUAAAUUAAUAAUUGAAAUAGUUCAUAAGAACUAAAUUGAUGCCAAUUUUGUUUUAAAAUAGGUUGUUUAGUUCUUAUAGUUAUAGUAUUACGUUUGAAUAGUUGUAAUUAGUAAGUUAGUAAUAUAUGAAAAUACUGAUAUAAAUUUUUGUAAAUAACCUUUUGUAAAUUCUACGAGAAGAUGAUUUUAAUUAAUGAUCAAAAGUCAACGGUCUUUAAAAGCAUUAUUUGCAAUUAUUUAGAUUAACUGUGGAAUAUAUUUGCUAAGUUGUGUUUUCUGUAUGAGCAGAUAUAAAUGAAAAUGCCCAAACAUGAUUAUGUUUCUUACAUUUUCAUUAUGUGAAAUGAAUAUGCUUGUGACUGAGUAUAUUAAUAAUUUAUUAAAACUUAAGUGAUAGACAGCAACCCCUAUGGCACUGCUGAAGUUUAUAAGCACUGGUGACCACUUAUCAUGGGCCGGGUUGCGUGCUCGUCUGCUGUUGAGUGCAAUAAAAAUUUUCGAAACCCUUUCUAUUAUUUAGAUGUAAUAUUAGUGUACAUUUAAUUUGGAUUAAAAAAUAAAUUUACAUUUUAUGUUUGCAUGUGUAUGUUUAUAAUUCAUUUGCAUGUAACGAACACCAGUUUCUUUUGUAACAAAAUGUAAACUAAUGGUUUGUAAUGAAUGUAAUUAACUUUAAGAUGAUUUUCUUUCAAUCUGCUGUUUGUUUCAUCUAGUAUUACCAAAGCUAAAGCAUCAGAAACGUCAGAAUAGAAAUAAUUUAGAUAGGGAAUAAAAGUAUAACUAAUGUAAUCAUGUCUAAGAUUACUAUAAGCGUCAUUAAGUACAAAUUAAGUACAAUUAAGUAUCAAUAUUUAAGAGUACUUUAAAUCAUCAUUACAUUUUUUAAACAUUUUUUGUUUUUCAAAUCAUGUAAUAAAACGUUUGUCAGAACAAAAUGUCACAUGUUAUGAACAUGAUUGUGGGUUAAUCGUUUCUUAAAUUUCUAAAUGUUUAUAAGAAUGCUAAGAAUAAUUUAGUAUUCACUUUAGUGUGUGUAUUAUCUCUACAAUGCUAGUAUAAAUGACAAUUAUUGUAUGACGAAGCAUAGGUAGUGUUUAUAGAUGUAAUAUUUUCAUACAAGGUCAUGAUCUGUCACGAUCAACUUUAAGCAAGAACUGCUAUAGUUAAGAAACAAAUUUAUUAAAUUUAAUUCAAAUUGUCUACUAUGUUUGUAAUGGAAAGCUGACAUGUUUAUAUUUCGCAUAAAUGACUUAAGUGACAUUGAAUGAUUUGAUUAUCUAGACUUAAUUACUUUUAGAUAACUUUCGAUUUAAUGUGUACGCUAGUAGGAUUAUUCUAGAGGAGUUAUUGUUAUUCGAAAUUUUAUACAAUUGUACGUUCAUACAAUCUUUUAACAGAAAAUUGUUUGUAAUAUAGGGAAAUUAAAUAGCUUACAGAGAA